AAUGAACGCUGGCGGCAGGCCUAACACAUGCAAGUCGAACGGAUCCUUCGGGAUUAGUGGCGGACGGGUGAGUAACGCGUGGGAACAUACCCUUAGGUACGGAAUAGCCUCGGGAAACUGGGAGUAAUACCGUAUGUGCUCGAAAGAGGAAAGAUUUAUCGCCUUUGGAUUGGCCCGCGUUGGAUUAGGUAGUUGGUGGGGUAAUGGCCUACCAAGCCGACGAUCCAUAGCUGGUUUGAGAGGAUGAUCAGCAACACUGGGACUGAGACACGGCCCAGACUCCCACGGGGGGCAGCAGUGGGGAAUCUUAGACAAUGGGGGAAACCCUGAUCUAGCCAUGCCGCGUGAUCGAUGAAGGCCUUAGGGUUGUAAAGAUCUUUCAGGUGGGAAGAUAAUGACUGUACCACCAGAAGAAGCCCCGGCUAACUCCGUGCCAGCAGCCGCCGUAA
rnacentral:rRNA from 1 species